rnacentral:rRNA from 1 species
GUGAACGCUGGCGGUAGGCCUAACACAUGCCAGUCGAACGGCAGCACAGUAAGAGCUUGCUCUUACGGGUGGCGAGUGGCGGACGGGUGAGGAAUACAUCGGAAUCUACUUUUUCGUGGGGGACAACGUAGGGAAACUUACGCUAAUACCGCAUACGACCUACGGGUGAAAGCAGGGGAUCUUCGGACCUUGCGCGAUUGAAUGAGCCGAUGUCGGAUUAGCUAGUUGGCGGGGUAAAGGCCCACCAAGGCGACGAUCCGUAGCUGGUCUGAGAGGAUGAUCAGCCACACUGGAACUGAGACACGGUCCAGACUCCUACGGGAGGCAGCAGUGGGGAAUAUUGGACAAUGGGCGCAAGCCUGAUCCAGCCAUACCGCGUGGGUGAAGAAGGCCUUCGGGUUGUAAAGCCCUUUUGUUGGGAAAGAAAGGCAGCAGGUUAAUACCCCGCUGUUCUGACGGUACCCAAAGAAUAAGCACCGGCUAACUUCGUG